UAGCUCAGUCAGUUGAGCAUGACGCUAACAACGCCAAGGUCGCGGGUUCGAUUCCUGU
rnacentral:tRNA from 1 species